rnacentral:rRNA from 1 species
AAUGAACGCUGGCGGCGCGCCUAAUACAUGCAAGUCGAGCGAGAAGACGUAGCAAUACGUUUGUAAAGCGGCGAACGGGUGAGGAAUACAUGGGUAACCUACCCUCGAGUGGGGAAUAACUAGCCGAAAGGUUAGCUAAUACCGCGUACGCUUCUUGGACUUCGGUUCAGGGAGGAAAGCGAUGCCGAGGGUAUCGCGCUCUUGGAUGGGCUCAUGUCCUAUCAGCUUGNGGUGAGGUAACGGCUCACCAAGGCUUCGACGGGUAGCUGGUCUGAGAGGACGAUCAGCCACACUGGGCACUGCGACACGGGCCAGACUCCUACGGGAGGCAGCAGUAAGGAAUAUUGCGCAAUGGGCGAAAGCCUGACGCAGCGACGCCGCGUGGGGGAUGAAGGUCUUCGGAUUGUAAACCCCUUUCGGG